AUUAAAGUUGUUGCAGUUAAAAAGCUCGUAGUUGAAGUAUUGGUAGGACGGACCAGGCCUUUCGACGAAUGUCGACUGCUGCUUUGCGUUUGAUCUGGCCAUCGUUGUCCGUUUGCGCUCUUUGUGGGCGUGGGUGGGCAUCAUUUACUGUAAAAAAAUUAGAGUGUUUCAAGCAAAUCGUAUGGUUGGAAUAGAGUAGUAUGGAAUAAUAAGAUAGGACUUUGGCCUAUUUUGUUGGUUU
rnacentral:rRNA from 12 species